GGUAGAGUGGUCUAAAAGGAUUUCGGUUUUGUAAUCCGAAGGAAGGGGUUAUCCCCUCUUUACCU
rnacentral:tRNA from 1 species